UACGUAGGUGGCAAGCGUUGUCCGGAUUUACUGGGUGUAAAGGGCGCGUAGGCGGGAAUGCAAGUCAGAUGUGAAAUGCUGGGGCUUAACCCUGGAACUGCAUUUGAAACUGUAUUUCUUGAGUAUCGGAGAGGCAGGCGGAAUUCCAAGUGUAGCGGUGAAAUGCGUAGAUAUUUGGAGGAACACCAGUGGCGAAGGCGGCCUGCUGGACGACAACUGACGCUGAGGCGCGAAAGCGUGGGGAG
rnacentral:rRNA from 1 species